AUGAAUCACGGUUUAUGAUGCAAAAAAUAUGUUUAUGACACGUUUUGGUUCGUGGUUUAUGAUGCAAAAAAUAUGUUUAUGACACGUUUUGGUUCGUCAUAGACUGGAAGAUUUCUUGUAGUGUGGUCUUAGUCAUUUAGAAAAUAUAACGAAUUUGUUAACCAUGAUAAAAAAGACCAAAUAACAUCCUCUAAGAUAUGCGUGGCAUGACUAAACAUAAUACAUCUUUCUAGGGACGAAGAAGGAUAUGUAGGUAACUAUAAGGGGAAAAAAUCGUGGCAUGUGAAUUUGAAUAAUAUUUCUACAUGCCAUAUUCCUAUGUUAAAACUAGAGGAGGGCUCUCUCAUGAUGUUAGGCUUUCUUUUCCUCCCAUGAAAUUCAUUAAUUUGGUUUUGCCUAGAUUGUUUUGGCAUCCAUAAUAAUUUUGGUUUAGUCUAAUGUCCGUGGUAGAUUGUACUCACAAAUUACUCUCCUUUGAGCACCCCUUGGAUAUCCAUCCACCAAAAAGUUAUUUCUCAUCCCCUACCCUUUUUAACAAGGAAAUAUGAUAGAAUAUAUGGAAGGCAUAAUCAAGCCCUAUAAGCAUUGCUCUCUUUCAUGAAUACUAGAUGGUAAAGCAGCUAUACCUAUAAAAUUAUGUGGUAACUUUCUCAAGUUUAUCUAGGUCUAGGUGGAUUGAAUGUCCAAAAAAAAGCUCCUCAUCAACCUAUGCACCUAAUACAUAUGCAUACAACAACAUUAUAGAAAAGAACAUUAUAUUUCUAUAGGAUAGUAUUUUAUAAAAUACCAUUCCACAUCAUCUAUAAAAUAUAAAUAGGGACUAUCCGGUCCGAAAAAAGAAAAGGUUGCUUAUUAAUCUUUUCAUCCUAACAUUUCAUCUACGUCCUUCAAAAAAUCAAAAAUCCUAUACAGUACUUUUUGGGCCGACUAGCAACCGCAACCAUGGUUGUCGCUAUUCUCGUGUUCGCAAUGCACAACAUGUGGUGGCCACCCUCCACCUACCCUGCCUACUUUUCUUUUAAUGUGGGAUGUGAGCCCCACCCAAACCUUAGCAAUAAGAGAAGGGGAGUAGUACACUCUCCUCUUCGCCCCACCCCUCUCCUUCCCCAUUCCCUAGUUGCGCCCUCUCUCGAUCUCAAUCUCGACCUAAAACCUUCUUUCCC
rnacentral:lncRNA from 1 species